UACAGAGGUCCCAAGCGUUGUUCGGAUUCACUGGGCGUAAAGGGUGCGUAGGUGGUGAGGUAAGUCGGAUGUGAAAUCUCCGGGCUCAACCCGGAAAUGGCAUUGGAAACUACCUUGCUGGAGGAUUUGAGGGGGGGGAUUGGAAUACUUGGUGUAGCAGUGAAAUGCGUAGAGAUCAUGAGGAAGACCAGUGGCGAAGGCGGGUCUCUGGACAGUUCCUGACACUGAGGCACGAAGGCCAGGGGAGCAAACGGG
rnacentral:rRNA from 1 species